rnacentral:lncRNA from 13 species
CUAACACUGACGUUACAUUGCUCCCAAAUAUAUCAUCCGAAAACCCGACACAUAUGCAAUGAAUUAGGGUUAGCUAGCAACAAUAGCAAUGUGUGGCUAGGUCGCGCAGGCGGCACUAUAACGUUGCAAUAAGAGAGUUUGCAUACAACACUGUGUUGACGCUUUGAAUCUGUCCGUCUAUCAAGAGCAAUAAAAACACGUCACACACAUUGUCUUAGUAACGGGAAAACUAAGGGCGAGUGGUGAAAAGUGAUUCUGGCAAAACACAGCGGUCAAGUCUCUCGUGCGUCCCUGUAAUCUGACAUGGAGAGACAUUCCCGCUAAUGGCCCUCGACCAUGUAGCUAGCUAGCCGAACAGAGGGAAGAGCGAGAACACAUCCAGUUCUCUCUCCGCUAGCUUGCGGAGCAGCACCCAUCCCCCUCCUCUCUCCCCAUCCCUCUCUCGCUCUCUGAAUCCACCAUCUUGAUUCUGAGACCCGUCUCCCCUUUCGCACAAGCCAAAAACACAACCAAAAUACCAACAAACUCACCUUUACCGGCCAUUGACCAAUCGAUUACAGUCUUCCGAAAUAAAAUAAUCGAUAUAUCUGAUAAAAGUGUGUAGAUUUUAAUAUUGUAAAUAUGUCGUGAGAAGCGGGAACCGCGCCUUGGAGCAGAAAGGAACAAUCCUAAACUGCCAUCUGGUGGAGCCAGAUAGACCCGUUGGGCGACUGGUAACCUUGGAGGCACGCCAAACCACCCAUGAGGAGGAAAGCGGGUGGAAGGAUGCCUCUUUCCCUGAUCUGACAGAAGACAUUUGUUCGGUGAAUGAGCGGAGGGCACCGAAUUGACGCAAUACAGUAGGUGAGUUUCUGGUAGUAGUUACACAUAUCAGUUGAUUUAGUAAUCAAUCUACGCGCGAGCAGGGAAUAAUGACGGUGGAAUAGUCGGCUAACUGACACGGUAUCGACCAUACCGCGGUGGGGCUGUUUUCUGUUUAUUUUGUGGUUUCUAUAAUUGUGGUGAUUAUUUGUCCUGCCGCGUACAGCAGCAUUACUUCCUGUGCGCGGGUACGCGCCUCGUUCCAAUCAUAAAUCCAGCACGGACCGUGUGUGUGUAACCUUGACAAGACACACACUCAUCCUCUCUCUCGC